GUCCACGCCCUAAACGAUGUACACUUGAUGUCGGCCUGUAAGGGUCGGUGUCGGAGCUAACGCGUUAAGUGUACCACCUGGGGAGUACGCUCGCAAGGGUGAAACUCAAAGGAAUUGACGGGGGCCCGCACAAGCAGUGGAGCAUGUGGUUUAAUUCGAUGCAACGCUAAGAACCUUACCUAGGCUUGAAAAGCAUUCUAAACCUGUGAAAGCAGGGUACCCGCAAGGGGGGAUGUACAGGUGCUGCAUGGCUGUCGU
rnacentral:rRNA from 1 species